GACGGGGGGGGCAAGUGUUCUUCGGAAUGACUGGGCGUAAAGGGCACGUAGGUGGCCAACUAAGUCAGACGUGAAAUCCCUCGGCUUAACCGGGGAACUGCGUCUGAUACUGGAUGGCUUGAGUUUGGGAGAGGGAUGCGGAAUUCCAGGUGUAGCGGUGAAAUGCGUAGAUAUCUGGAGGAACACCGGUGGCGAAGGCGGCAUCCUGGACCAACACUGACACUGAGGAGCGAAAGCCAGGGGAGCAAACGGG
rnacentral:rRNA from 1 species